rnacentral:ncRNA from 1 species
AUGAACGUACAGGGAGAGACUGCCACCAGCAUCAGGGCAGCGCCGAAGGAGUAAGCCGUUAUGGUGAAUCUCUCAGGCAAAAGGACCUGUACUGGACG